rnacentral:misc_RNA from 1 species
GAUGAAGAACGCAGCGAAAUGCGAUAAGUAAUGUGAAUUGCAGAAUUCAGUGAAUCAUCGAAUCUUUGAACGCACAUUGCGCCCGCCAGUAUUCUGGCGGGCAUGCCUGUUCGAGCGUCAUUUCAACCCUCAGGCCCCGCCUGGCGUUGGGGAUCGGCGCGGCCCUCUCCGGGCUGCCGGCCCCGAAAACUAGUGGCGGUCUCGCUGUAGUCCUCCUCUGCGCAGUAGCAACGCUCGCACUGGAACUCGGCGCGGCCACGCCGUAAAACACCCCACUUCUGAAAGUUGACCUCGGAUCAGGUAGGAAUACCCGCUGAACUUAAGCAUAUCAAUAAGCGGAGGA